rnacentral:rRNA from 1 species
UGGGGAAUAUUGCACAAUGGGGGAAACCCUGAUGCAGCGACGCCGCGUGAACGAAGAAGGUAUUCGUAUCGUAAAGUUCUGUCCUAUGGGAAGAUAAUGACAGUACCAUAGAAGAAAGCUCCGGCUAAAUACGUGCCAGCAGCCGCGGUAAUACGUAUGGAGCGAGCGUUUUCCGGAAUUAUUGGGCGUAAAGGGUACGCAGGCGGUUUAAUAAGUCGAAUGUUAAAGAUCGGGGCUCAACCCCGCAAAGCAUUGGAAACUGAUAAACUUGAGUAGUGGAGAGGAAAGUGGAAUUCCUAGUGUAGUGGUGAAAUACGUAGAUAUUAGGAGGAAUUCCAGUAGCGAAGGCGACUUUCUGGACACAAACUGACGCUGAGGUACGAAAGCGUGGGGAGCAAACAGG